rnacentral:rRNA from 1 species
GACGAACGCUGGCGGCGUGCCUAAUACAUGCAAGUAGGACGCAGUUGCGAACGGGUGAGUAACGCGUAGGUAACUACCUAUUAGAGGGGGAUAACUAUUGGAAACGAUAGCUAAUACCGCAUACUAGUAGAUUGACCUGCGGUGUAUUAGCUAGUAGGUAGGGUAAAGGCCUACCUAGGCAACGAUACAUAGCCGACCUGAGAGGGAUGUCGGGCAAAAUGGGACUGGGACACGGGCCAGAAUCCUACGGGAGGGAGCAGGAGGGGAUCUUCGGCAAUGGGGGGAACCCUGAACGAGCAACGCCGCGGGAGUGAAGAAGGUUUUCGGAUCGUAAAGCUCUGUUGUUAAGGAAGCGGUACUUAACCAGAAAGGGACGGCUAACUACGUGCCAGCAGCCGCGGUAAUAC